GCCCCCAUCGUCUAGCGGCCCAGGACACCGCCCUUUCAAGGCGGCAGCACGGGUUCGAAUCCCGUUGGGGGCA
rnacentral:tRNA from 1 species